AGGCCACUGCUAUCGGAGUUCGAUUAAGCCAUGCGAGUCGAGAGGUGUAAGACCUCGGCAUACUGCUCAGUAACACGUGGACAACCUACCCUGAAGAGGGGGAUAACCCCGGGAAACUGGGGAUAAUACCCCAUAGAUUAUGGAUGCUGGAAUGCUCUGUAGUUAAAAGGUCCGCCGCUUCAGGAUGGGUCUGCGGCCGACUAGGUUGUUGUUGGGGUAACGGCCCAACAAGCCUGUAAUCGGUACGGGUUGUGGGAGCAAGAGCCCGGAGAUGGAUUCUGAGACACGAAUCCAGGCCCUACGGGGCGCAGCAGGCGCGAAAACUUUACAAUGCGAGAAAUCGUGAUAAGGGAGCUCCGAGUGCCCGUAAAAUCGGGCUGUCCGCCAGUGUAAAUAACUGGUGAAGAAAGGGCCGGGCAAGACCGGUGCCAGCCGCCGCGGUAAUACCGGCGGCUCGAGUGGUGGCCACUAUUACUGGGCUUAAAGCGUUCGUAGCUGGUCUGUUAAGUCUCUGGGGAAAUCUUCCGGCUUAACCGGAAGGCGUCUCAGGGAUACUGGCAGACUAGGGACCGGAAGAGGUGAGAGGUACUCCAGGGGUAGGAGUGAAAUCCUGUAAUCCUUGGGGGACCACCUGUGGCGAAGGCGUCUCACCAGGACGGCUCCGACAGUGAGGAACGAAAGCUGGGGGAGCAAACCGGAUUAGAUACCCGGGUAGUCCCAGCUGUAAACGAUGCACGUUAGGUGUAUCGGUGACCACGAGUCACCGAGGUGCCGAAGAGAAAUCGUGAAACGUGCCGCCUGGGAAGUACGGUCGCAAGGCUGAAACUUAA
rnacentral:rRNA from 1 species